rnacentral:rRNA from 1 species
AACGAACGCUGGCGGCGCGCCUAAUACAUGCAAGUCGAACGAGAAGCUGUAGCAAUACAGUUGUACAGUGGCGAACGGGUGAGGAAUACAUGGGUGACCUACCCUCGAGUGGGGAUAACCAGCCGAAAGGUUGGCUAAUACCGCGUACGCUUCCCAGUCUACGGGUUGGGAAGGAAAGCGAUGCCGUGGGUAUCGCGCUCAAGGUUGGGCUCAUGUCCUAUCAGCUUGNGGUGGGGUAACGGCUCACCAAGGCAACGACGGGUAGCUGGUCUGAGA